GUCAUCUUCUUACUGAUUAGCCACUUUCUUGAAGAGGAGGGCACUUUGUUCCGCUUUUAUGGGGUUGAAGGUAACAAGGCUGCCAUUAUUGCGGACAAGGGCAAACCACAAACACCUUUCAUCGCAAUCCUUGGACGGAAGGAAGACGUUUUCCAGGGGAGACUGAUAUUCUACCUAG